rnacentral:rRNA from 1 species
AUUGAACGCUGGCGGCAGGCCUAACACAUGCAAGUCGAGCGAGCGGCGGACGGGUGAGUAAUGUCUGGGAAACUGCCUGAUGGAGGGGGGUAACUACUGGAAACGGGGGCUAAUACCGCAUACCAUCAGCUCUGACCCGAUGGGAUUAGCUGGUAUGUGGGGUAACGUCGCACCAAGGCGACGAUCCCUAGCUGGUCUGAGAGGAGGACCAGCCACACUGGAACUGAGAAACGGUCCAGACUCCUACGUGAGGCAGCAGUGGGGAAUAUUGCACAAUGGGCGAAAGCCUGAUGCAGCCAUGCCGCGUGUGGGAAGAAGGCCUUCGGGUUGUAAAGCACUUUCAGCGGGGAGGCGUUACCCGCAGAAGAAGCAACGGCUAACUCCGUGCCAGCAGCCGCGGUAAUAC